CCUACGGUGCGCAGCAGUGAGGAAUCUUGGUCAAUGGCCGAAAGUCUGAACCAGCCAUGCCGCGUGCAGGAAGACGGCUCUAUGAGUUGUAAACUGCUUUUGUACAAGGGUAAACCUGAAUACGUGUAUUCAGCUGAACGUACUGUACGAAUAAGGAUCGGCUCACUCCGUGCCAGCAGCAGCGGUAAUACGGAGGAUACAAGCGUUAUCCGGAUUUAUUGGGUUUAAAGGGUGCGUAGGCGGAUUGAUAAGUUAGAGGUGAAAUGUCCGGGAUCAACUCGGGAACUGCCUCUAAUACUGUUGAUCUAGAGAGUAGAUGCGGUAGGCGGAAUGUAUGGUGUAGCGGUGAAAUGCUUAGAGAUCAGACAGAACACCGAUUGCGAAGGCAGCUUACCAAUCUAUAUCUGACGUUGAGGCACGAAAGCGUGGGGAGCAAACAGGAUUAGAUACCCGUGUAGUC
rnacentral:rRNA from 1 species